rnacentral:rRNA from 1 species
GACGAACGCUGGCGGCGCGCUUAACACAUGCAAGUCGUACGGGGCCCUUCGGGGUUCAGUGGCGAACGGGUGCGUAACACGUGAGUGACCUGCCCUUGUGCGGGGAUAACCCGGGGAACCCGGCUAAUACCGCAUAGCGCUCUUUGGGCUUCCGGGCCUGGGGAGGAAAAGUGCUGUAAGGCACUGCGCAGGGAGGGGCUCGCGGCGUAUCAGGUAGUUGGUAGGGUAACGCCUACCAAGCCGAUGACGCGUAGGGGGUCUGAGAGGAUGGCCCCCCACA